rnacentral:rRNA from 1 species
UAGACGGUAGGGUAUUGGCCUACCGUGGCUAUGACGGGUAACGGGGAAUUAGGGUUCGAUUCCGGAGAGGGAGCCUGAGAAACGGCUACCACAUCUAAGGAAGGCAGCAGGCGCGCAAAUUACCCAAUCCUAAUACAGGGAGGUAGUGACAAGAAAUAACAAUACAGAACCUUACGGUUUUGUAAUUGGAAUGAGUUAAGUAUAAACCCCUUAACAAGUAUCAAUUGGAGGGCAAGUCUGGUGCCAGCAGCCGCGGUAAUUCCAGCUCCAAUAGCGUAUAUUAAAGUUGUUGCAGUUAAAAAGCUCGUAGUUAAUCUUCUGUUAAUUUUUAUAUAUAAUAUCACGAUAUUUAUAUAAUAUUAACAUAAUUCAUAUUACUUUUUAGUAUAUGAAACUUUACUUUGAGAAAAUUAGAGUGCUUGAAGCAGGCUAUUGCCUUGAAUACUCCAGCAUGGAAUAAUAUUAAGGAUUUUUAUUCUUCUUAUUGGUUCUAGAAUAAAAAUGAUGAUUAAUAGGGACAGUUGGGGGCAUUUGUAUUUAACAGUCAGAGGUGAAAUUCUUAGAUUUGUU